CGUGUAGGCGGUAAUGUAAGUCAGACGUGAAAUCCUUUGGCUCAACUGAAGAACUGCGUCUGAAACUGCAUGACUAGAGUGCAGAAGAGGGAAACGGAAUUCCCGGUGUAGAGGUGAAAUUCGUAGAUAUCGGGAGGAACACCGGUGGCGAAGGCGGUUUCCUGGUCUGACACUGACGCUGAGGCGCGAAAGCGUGGGGAGCAAACAGGAUUAGAUACCCUGGUAGUCCACGCCGUAAACGGUGGGUACUGGGUGUGGGAGGUGUAAUGCCUUCUGUGCCGAAGCUAACGCGUUAUGUACCCCGCCUGGGGAGUACGGCCGCAAGGUUGAA
rnacentral:rRNA from 1 species